GCCGCCGGCUGUCUUUUUUUACCAGACCUGUCCAAGGAACUGUCAAUGAAGAGGAAGAAGUUUGCAACUGCGAAGAAACAAAAAGAACUUUACUUGGGAGGGAAAGAAAAUAAUUUUCGAGGACAACGUGGAGGCAGAGAGAUUAUUGCCUAGAUAAAGAAGACGAGACAAGUUUUAGAGCCUCUUACGACAAUGAUAAGAACAGAUCCAGAAAUCAGGGGUGUACAUGAAGGAGGAAAAGAACACAAGCUGCCUAUGUAUGCAGAUGAUAUUCUACUGCUGAUCUCUGAUCCUCUUCAGUUUCCCCUACAAGGAAAAUAAGAAGUCCAGUUCCCCAUGAUGCAGGUAGAACGUACAAUAUCCCAGUGUGCAUCUGGCUCCGUCAGACCCACCCCCAGAGCCGGCUGCGGUGCAACGCGUCUCUCUGUCUCCAUGGUGAUCGACCCCAGUGCUCCUGUGCUGCCUUACCAACGACAGUGUUACAACGUGGUUUUGUUUACUUGUUUGUUUUGAUAGUGCUCGGUGAAUGCUUUGUAUAUGUACUGUUUAUUAUUAAAAGAAGAGAAGUUAUAGAUUAGCGGUUACUCUAA